CACAUAGAAGGAUUUGCUCCUGAGGUGAGGUUGCUUGGGUUACAAAAACUGGAGAAUCUGAUCUGGAAGUCCCCAUUGCGAUUCGACCAACAAGUGAAACAGUGAUGUAUCCUUAUUUCUCUAAGUGGAUAAGGGGACACCGUGACUUGCCCUUGAGACUUAACCAGUGGUGCAACGUUGUGCGGUGGGAGUUUAGCAACCCAACCCCCUUCAUCAGGAGCCGUGAGUUUCUUUGGCAAGAAGGACACACUGCUUUUGCAACUAAGGAGGAGGCAGAUGCAGAGGUAUUUCGGUUAUAUGUUACAGUAUGCAAUUGAUCAUUAAAAAUUCUAUACAGGGUAGUAUCAGUGUUUUUUUUUGGUAAUUAAAUUUCUUUUGUAUUAAUCACCAAAGAAAGACUAUACAAAACCAUAUCCAUGCUAACUCAGCUGACUAUCUCAAAACUGAAAGACAAAACAAACCGUACCUAUUUACAAACAAAAUUAUUCAAUCUACUCUGUUCCUAGCCAAAACUGUUGUAUGUAACUCCUAACUCGAGUAGCUACUCUAGCAUUGCAUAUGUGUGCUAUUUCUCGCACCAGGACAUCAUUCCCUCGAUACCUUUGCUCAAGUAUACAUGUGUUUUUUUCUAUCCAUAUUGCAUGUGAAAUGUCAGCAUAGAUCAUUUUGAAGAUGCUAGCCUUCUUGGACUUCCCUUUUCCCUGUUUGAUAAUCCACUGAAGAUGUUGAUCCCAGCAAGUGGUAGCCGUAUGUGAUCUUUGGACCCAAGUCGUUACUUUCUUCCAAAGUUCUCUAGUGUAUGGGCAUUUAACAAAGAUGUGCUUCCUUGAUUCAUCCUGAUCUUGACACAUAACACACUGAGAGGUAACAGUUAUACGUCAACUGGCUAGCCUAUCUUUAGUUGGCAAUCUACCAUGGAGCAACAACGCCUUUGGCCUAGCAGUAUUCUGGAAAAUCAGACAUUUCCAGCUUACUCUUGGUAAAUCACCUAGGAGCUGCAGGUAUAUUUGUCUAAUGAUACUUUUCCUAUUGUCAUGUAUAUUAUGUGUCUGCAGCAGAGUUGCUCUGGAUCCAAUUAUUCAUCUCACCAUCCAGCUGGCUUGCUGAGGUAUAGGCAUCUGUUGGAGCUGCUGGUGUUUGAUAUAAUAUGCAUUGAUCCACCUUAUUCCUAGCUUGUCCUGUUUAUGUGUUAAGUCCCAGCAAGUUUUGGCAAUAGCUGCUUUGUUCAGAGGAAGGUUGAUGAGGUUAAGUCCACCAUCUGACUCGGGAGUACAGAUUUUUUCCCAUGCUACCAAGGACAUCUUGUUUAUUGUAUUAGUUCCAGACCAGAUGUAACUUCUACAAAAUGCCUCUAUCAUUUUCAGUACCUUAGCAGGUAAAAUAAACAAUUGAGCUCAGUAUGCUUGUAUGCCAAAGAUUACAGAUUGGACCAGCUGCACACGACUAUCAUAAGACAACUUCUUAGCAGUCCAGGAAGAAAUCUUGGCUGUGAUCUUUCAAUCAAUAGUUAAGAGCUAUUUUCUUUGUAGACAAAGGAAUGCCUAGGUACUUGAAGGGUAAGGAUGCCUAGGUACUUGAAGGGUAAGGAUCCACUUGUAAAUCCUAGGUGUGCCAAUAUCUGGUCCUUCACAGCUUGCUUUACACCACCAAAAUAUAUUGAACUUUUUCCUAGAUUAGCCUGUAAGCCUGAUGCCUGAGAAUUGAGUAAAGCAUUUGUAAAGUAUAGCCACUGAAGAGAGAUUAUGUUAGCAAAUAACAGAAGAUCAUCAGCAAAACUCAUAUGAGUAAUGCCCAGCUUCCUACAUCUGGGAUGAUAUUGGAAGUAAGGCUCCUUCUUAAGUCCAUGCAAUGAUCUAAUCAAGUAUUCCAUCACUAUAGCAAACAGACAAGGGGAGAUAGGGUCUCCUUGUCAAAGACCCUUGGUAGCAUCGAAAGGUUAUAUGGUUUCCCCAUUCACAAGAAUAGUAUAGUUGACAGUCUUAAUAUCUGAUAAACCUGUCAGGAAACCUAAGCUCCUCCGUAACCUGCUGUAAGGAGAUCUAUUCUACUGAGUCGUAAGCUUUCUGAAAAUCAAUCUUUAUCAUACAUCUAGGGGGAUAUCUGAGCUCUUGUGUAGGAUUUGACUAGCUCAUGAGCUAGAAUGACAUUAUCAGCAAUCUUUCUACCAGGAAUGAAGCAUGCUUGAGCCUCACAAAUGAUGUAAGGCAUGGCUUUCUGUAAUCUGGAAGCCAAGAUUUUAGAGAUCAUCUUGUAGAGGAUUGAACAACAACAUGCUAUGAGUCUGUACUUUUGACUGUGGCUUUCUUGAAGAAAAUUGCAUUAAAGCCAUCGAUGUCUGGAGCUUUAUCAUCACCAAUUGCUUUGAGGCUCUCAACAAUCUCUUGAUUGGUUACUUCUGCACAUAGAUCAACCCUUUGUUGGUGAGAUAGUGUAGGCCCAGCUUCAUGUAUGUUCUGUUGAUGGCAAGCAAGGUACUGGCAGCUGUUCCCAUUAAACUUUUGUAGAAAUCAACAAUCUCUCUUUUGAUAGCAUCAGGGUCGGUCAGCUUGUCUCCUAGCAAAGUUGUAAUUUCUGUGAUUUGCUUCUUUUGAGUUCUAUCCUUCAUCACUGCUGUGAAGUACUUAGUGUUUGAAUCUCCCAGUUGUAUCCACUUUGCUCUAGCUUUCUGUUGAAGGACACUCUCUUCAAUUAAAGACCACUUCUCAAGGUUCAGUAAUACUUUUUUCUCCAUAUCAAGUAAAGUAUCAGUGCAACCCUGUGAAAUUUUUCCUUGUAUGUCACUCACCUCAAUUCUAGCUUUCUCAAUUUUCUGAGUUAUGCCCCUGAAUCCUUAGAAUGUAGAGAUUUCAAAGCAGGUUUCAGAUCUUUCAAUCUAGCCCAAACUGAAUUCAAAUUACCCUGUGGACUAUGUGAACUCCAUAUGCUAGUAACUAUUUGAGAGAAGCCAUCAUGUUCUGGUCAUAUGUUAAAGAAUCUGAAAGGCACUCUACCUUUCCAUGUGGAAGAUGUCAAAGUUAGGAUAGGAGCAUGAUAUGAUAUUUGAGGCAAUCCAUAGUUUGUUUCUACAUGACCCCAGGACAUCAUCCAUUCAUAAUUGCCAAACACUCUAUCUAACCUGCUGCUGACCCUAUCAGAUCCAUGUUGCUUGAUAGACUAUGUAUAGUAAUCACCUUUCCAAGGCAGUUCUGUUAAUGUAGUGUUCUGAAGGCAGACAACAAAGUCUUGGAUCUCUAAGUAGCUUACUGGGUUACCAGAUAACUUGUCAUUGGGGUAUAGCACAGAGGCGUAUCCAGGAUUUUAAUAACAUGGGUGCACCAUUAUCUUUAGGCAAAAUACAUAAGUUGCCACCCGAAUUAUGACCCAAAUCCCUGUUACACACUUUCUAGGAACGAAUAUUACUUUACACACCCAACCUUUUCAAAGUGUAUCUAAGACGCACCACUUUUUUCUUAACCAGUUUUUCAGAAUAUAUGCAAUAUCACGCACCAAUCAAAUUGUGACAUGUGUCAUUUAAAAAAUAAAAUAAUUAAAAUUACAAUCAUACCCCUCAUCUUCCUCAUCUAAACUACCAUGGUCGUCUUCCUCCUCUCUCACCAUCAAUUACCAUAGCUUCUUCCUCCACCUUUUACUUAAUAGCAAAGCCACCAUUAACUAACAAAAAUCACCAAACACACCCAAAACUCCAUCUUUUCCGCUGAAAUUGAAUCAAAAUUUUUGAGCUCAGAUCCAAUUUCAUUUCACUUCUGUAAAAGUUCGACCGCCAUUAACUGCCAUCGCCACAAGUCAACUAUUUAAAAAAUCAUCCAUUAAUAAAAUUAAAGAAUGUGCAAAUCUUGAGCUAAGCUUUAAUGGUUGGAAAAUAUUUUGAAAAAUUCUCGCUUCCUGAAAAUUUGACUUCGCCAUGGGUAAAGCUUAAGUUAAGCUUCUCUACAACGAGAAGAGAUAUAAGAAAUCGUGGUAUAUCUAUUUGAGAAGAAGGAAAUCGGGUGGUGGAGCUCAAGGAGUAGCUAUGGCAGAAUUUUUAAAAAAGGAAGAAGAUGACUCAAUUUAAAAUUUUAAAAAACUAAAAGAAAAUUGACAUCUGACACAAAAUUCUUCUGUUCACGCGACUCAUUUGUUGGGAUAAACACGCACUAUCCACGUGGGCAAAGCAGUGUGUAUUAGAUACACUUUGGAAAGGUUGGGUGUGUAAAGUAAUAUUCGUUCCUAGAAAGUGUGUAACAGGGAUUUGGGUCAUAGUUUGGGGGGUAACUUAUGUAUUUUGCCUUAUCUUUAAGAUAAAUGUUUGGUUCGAUUAUAAAAAAAUUGUGGUGAUAACAAGUUAACGAGCAAACUAUAUUAAUAUUUUUUUUUAAUCCAAUAAAGAUUCAAGGUUGAGUUAUUGGACAUUACAAGCAGUGAUAUAAUAUUUCAGAUAAGCAGAAAAACAAACUCCAAAUAAGCAUGUCUGGAUACUAUACAAUGAAAUGUGCUUGAUACCCAAUAAAGGAAAAGAAAAGCAACAUACCCAUUAAUUAAGAGCGGGGGAAAAUGCUGAAAAGCAAAAGCUACUGAGAUUUGACAAUUCCACUACAAUAAGCAAAAUGAAAUGUUAAAGAUUAACCUAGCUAAGGAACUGAAGGAGCCAUCGUUUUGUCAAGAAGAAGAGGACGAUUUUUUUUUUUGAAUUGGUAACUUUUGUAUAUAUUAAUAACAUCAGUACAUAGGUUGCACCGAAAACCAAAUUUACAUGAAGAGGAUAAGUAGAUGUUCUGAUUUGAGACCUAGCAAGAUCCUAGUAUGUCUAUGAUUGUCAAUGUAUCUUCUGUGUAAAUCUGUUUACACCAAAAACAAAAAAGAAGAAUACAAUUGAGUUUGAUCUUCUGUACUGGAUUGCUUCUAUCUUCAAAACAUCUAGCGUUCCUUUCCCUCCAAACUGUCCACCAGAUACAAGCCGGGACAGUCCUCCAUCUGUCUCUACUAGUUGCUUCAGCUCUAGCUUCUUCCCAGCUAUAAAGGACAUCUUUAAGCCUGUAUGACAUUGACCAUGAAAUGCCCCUACGACUAAUAAAGAUUUUCCAUAGUUGGUCUGUAAUCUUGCAAUGUAGAAAUAAAUGGCUAACAGUUUCAGUAUUUUCCCCACAUAGAAAACAUCUUGAACACAGAGAAAUUCCCCUUUUUAUGAGAUUAUCCUGGGUUAAUACAACCUCCUUUGCUAGUAGCCAAGAGAAGCAUGCUACCUUGUAUGGAAUCGUUGUUCUCCAUAUAUGUUUCCAUGGCCAUGCGUCUACCUGUUGAUUAUUAUGAUUCAAAAUCUUAUAUGCAUCCUUCACCUGAUAAAACCCUCUGUUGUGCCUCUGCCACCAAAGUGAAUCAAACCCUUCUUGUAAACCUUUAAAUGCUUCCGGCUCUUUGUAAAGGUGAGCUAAUCUUGUUAUCUCCCAGUCAUUCAACUGUCUUCUGAGAGAGAUUUCCCAUCCUUGAUGACUCCUCAUAUCAACUACUGUCCUAUGCUGGUUUUGUGCCAAUCCAAACAUAUCGGGUAUCUUUCCUUUAAGCUUCCGUGUCCCAACCAGUUAUCAUUCCAGAAUGAUGUGUUCCUUCCGUUGUUCACUCUUAUGGAAGAGUGAUUCUUCAUUAUAGGCCAAAGUUCUCUGAUGGAUUUCCACACUUACUCCAUAUGAUGUUCUGACUUUUUUUGACACCCAGUUAUUUUCCUCACCGUACUUAACUUUGAUCACUUUGCUCCAUAAAGAUUGGGGUUCUUGAGAGUACUUCGAUAACCAUUUCAUUCUAAGAGCCUUGCUUUGAUUCUUCAAAUUCCUAAUUCCUAAACCACCUUGUUUUUUAGCCAUUGUGAGUGUCUUCCAUUUAACUAAAUGGAAGACCUGUUUCUCCUUAUUACCUUGCCAAAGGAAUGAUCUUCGUAGUUUGUCCAAUGUCUGUAAAAUUCCGGCAGGAAUUGGAAACAAAGACAUCAUAUAAGUAGGAAGUAAGUCUAAUAGUGAGUUGAUUAGAACUAGCCUGCCCCCCAAUGACAGGUAUUGCGAUUUUCAUCUUGACAACUUCUUCUCACGCUUUUCUAUAACUGAAUUCCAGAUCUCUUUUGAUUUGGAUCUUGCACCAAGAGGCAUCCCAUGGUAAACAGUUGGUAGGGACCCAACUUCUCCUCCCAAUAUCUGUGUCAGUUGCUCCAUGUUGUUAACUUCAUUAAUGGGAAAAAUAUUGCUCUUCCUUCAGUUGAUGUGUAAUCCCGAAACUCCCUCAAAUAAGACCAAAAUGAUCCUUAGGAAUCUAAGUUGUUCCUUUUUAGCGUCACAGAAGACUAGAGUAUCAUCCGCAUAUUGAAGAUGUGUGAUCUCUAGAUUGUUUGCCCCACUCCUUUUUAUCUCAAAACCUUUAAUCCAUCCACUGACUUUAGCCGUUUUGAUCAUGUUGUUCAAUCCUUCCAUGGCUAUAAUGAAUAGAAAGGGAGAUAAAGGAUCACCUUGUCUUAGACCUCUGUGAGAAUGGAAAAAACCUUUAGGAGAUCCAUUUAUGAUAAUGGAGAAUGUUACAGUAGAUAUGCAAAAUUUCAUCCAUCUGUUCCAUUUCUGCCCAAAACCCAUGUGUUCUAACAUUUUGAGUAGGAAGCUCCAAUUUACACGAUCAUAGGCCUUCUCAAUAUCUAAUUUGCAUAAGAUUCCAGGUUCUUUCUUUUUGAUUCUUGAAUCCACAGCUUCGUUGGCAAUCAAUACUGCAUCUAUUAUUUGUCUUCCUUUGAUGAAAGCUAUUUGUUGAGCAUCAACAAUUUUCCCUACCACCCUCUUAAGUCUUUCAGUCAAGACUUUUGAGAGUGAGAAGGCACGAGAGAAAAUAUGAUAUAUUGAUAUUGUGUGUGAUGCAAUACAAGAGGUGCUAUUUAUAGCUACUUUAUACAAAGGGAAUACUACUCCUAUUCCAAUGUGGGACAAUUACAUAGCUAUCUCUAACA